rnacentral:RNase_P_RNA from 1 species
AAAGCAAAUCGUUCUAUCGCCUUUCGUUUUAUACGAGGGGAGGAAAGUCCGGACAGCAUAGAGCAUCCAACCUAGGGAAACCUAGGGUAUUUGUAUGUAAUGUGCAAAUAACAGAAAGUGCCACAGAAAACAAACUACCUCGAAUUCGUUCGGGGAAAAGGUGAAAAGGCGAGGUAAGAGCUCACCGUUAGUGCAGCAAUGUACUAUGCAUGGAAAACCUUUGGAGCUGAAAAAUCAAAUAAACCAAGGCUAUAGGGCUGCUCGUCCAAUCUUGGAGGGUAGAUUGAACGAGGGUAGGUGCAAACCUGCUCCCAGAUAAAUGAUAGAAACCGCUUGCGGAUACAGAAACCGGCUUAUAGAUUUGCUUUUUUU